AAAAAGGCGAGAAGAGGAGGAAAGGAGAAGAAAACAACUUGAAGAAGAAGCAAGAAUUAAAGCUGAAAUGGAAGCCGAAAGGCGAAGGGCAGAAGAGGAAGAAAUGAAACGGAGGGAACUUGAAAAAGCGAAACAGAAAGAAAUCGAGGAACAAUUAAGGAAAGAGGAAGAAGAGGCAAAAUCUCGACAAGCUGCUCUUGAACAAGAGAGAUUAGAUCACGAACUGGCCUUGCGUUUGGCAAAGGUAU